UACGUAGGGGGCGAGCGUUGUCCGGAGUUACUGGGCGUAAAGGGCACGCAGGCGGUGCGGCGCGUUUCGCGUGACAGCGGAGGGCUUAACUCUCCGAGGAUGCGAAAGACGGCGGCACUUGAGGGCCAGAGAGGGACACGGAAUUCCGGGUGGAGUGGUGAAAUGCGUAGAGAUCCGGAGGAACACCGAAGGCGAAGGCGGCCUGCUGGGCAGUUGCUGACACUGAGGCGCGACAGCGUGGGGAGCAAACAGG
rnacentral:rRNA from 1 species